rnacentral:lncRNA from 1 species
AUUUUUUUUUUCUCGUUUUUGUACAUUUAUAUAAGCUACGUCUAAUCUAAUAACAUGCAAGAAAACGAGUUCCUAUUUUUCAGUCUCUUUUUAUUUAUUUGGUGGAUUUUGGCUGUCCCUUUACCUGCAUUUGGAGAAAGCAGCAGACUUGUUGGAGCAAGUUCUGUAUCUGGUUGAGAUAGGCUAUUCUGUCAGUUGCCUCUCCAAUUUGGUCAAAAUUUGGAUGAUUUGAGAACAUCAUUACAUUUUUUAACAGUCUCAACUAACACCAGUCUUUGUUUAAUUCUGUUGCAGGAAACAGAAAACUUAGAUUGAAGCUUCUGCCAGGACUAGGUAAUGUAUCUUUUUAAUCAAAUUCAUUAUUGGUGUAUUGCUACUUGACUAAGGCAAGUGUCCGGCUUAGGUCCGUCCUUUAUUACAUUUUUGCUAUUGUUCUACAUUCAAAUAAAUUCGGAUACCUUAUAAUCGCUUCAAAUUUCUUCUCUGCCACUCGUGUUUUUUUGCAACCCUCAAUAGAAUCAAGGAGCAUCUGCUAGCACAAUUUUUGGACCAUCCAAAAUUUGCUGAACUAUUUUUUGGCUUCUACUCAUAGUUUUGAAGGAAGCAUCCAUCUGUCUUUAAUUAGAGAAAGAAAUUUUAGGUUGACAGCGACUCCUUUCUCUGGUUGCAGGAGCAUCAGCCUUUGCAAUUGGCAUAUUGAUAUUUAUAGCCUUUUACUUCAAGAGAAAACUUUCAUCAUACAAUUCCACUGCAAGUUGUCUGAACAUUGAGACAUUUUUAAGGAAUUAUCGAUCUCUAUCUCCUAAAAGAUAUGGCUAUGCAGAUAUUAAGAAAAUGACCAAUUCUUUCAAAUAUAAACUCGGCCAAGGAGGCUAUGGAAGUGUUUACAAAGGAAAACUACUUGACGGUAGUAAUGUGGCGGUAAAAGUCUUAAAUGAUUCAAAAGGAAAUGGUAAAGAAUUCAUCAACGAGGUUGCUAGCAUUAGCAGGACUUCCCAUGUUAACGUUGUCGCUCUUUUAGGAUUCUGUUUGAGGGUCGCAGAAGAGCUCUCAUCUACGAGUUUGUGUCCAAUGGAUCUCUGGAGAAGUUCAUUUAUAGAAACAGCUCAUCGAUAGAAAAUCAUAAAUUGACCUGGGAAACGUUGCUCCAAAUUGCAGUAGGCAUAGCUCGAGGAUUAGAGUACUUGCACCUUGGCUGCAGUACACGAAUUCUGCAUUUUGACAUCAAGCCUCAUAACAUUCUUCUAGAUGAAGACUUCUGUCCCAAGAUCUCUGAUUUCGGCCUAGCUAAAAUCUGCAACAGGAAAGAGAGUAUCAUCUCAAUGACAGGUGCACGGGGAACUGUUGGGUAUAUUGCUCCAGAAGUAUUCUGUAGAAAUAUUGGGGAAGUCUCUUACAAGUCGGAUGUUUAUAACUACGGAAUGAUGAUUUUCGAAAUGACUGGAGGAAGAAAGAACGUUGAUGUUGUGGAUAAUGGAAGCACCGCAUUGGAUUUACAAGCGUCUAGAAAAGGAUGAAGAACUUGGACUGCAAGGCAUUGAAAAUGAAGAAGAUAUAGAAUAUGCAAGGAAGAUGAUAAUUGUAUGCUUGUGGUGUACACAGACUAACCCCUCAAGCCAGCCAACAAUGAAUAGAGUAGUGGAAAUGUUGGAAGCAAGCCACCAUUCCUUGCAAAUCCCACCCAAACCUUUCUUAUCUUCGCCGGGCUCACCAGCAGACUCUUCAACUAACAAAGUAUAGCAGACUCUUCAACUAUACAAAGUAUACUAAUAACAUUGUAAAAAUACCAUUAGGUAUCAGAAUGCACUGUUUUCCUCCCCCUUUCUACUUUGUAAAUUGGUGCAAUUUUCGAUAAAUAUGGAAUUAGAGACGUCCAUUUCAAUAAAUAUCAGGCAACAAAGAAUGACGCAGUUUUCACUAGAGUUCCACUGCUUUGGCACAUAGUAAUCUUUAUUUGUAAUCUUCGUGGUUUAGUUAGCACUAACGCAAAAUACAAGACCGCCAAAAGUUUUGGAAUUCCAAAGGAACACUCAAUAAUCAAUCAGCUCUCCCUGAGGCGCUAAAACUCAUUUUACAUUAUUUGCAUAUAUUACAUAUACAAUUGAUGUAGCACUAUGGUAAGAUUCAAACAAUUCACUAGCCUAAUGGAAAGUGGGCACAAAAAAAUAGAAUGAAGUGGGAAAGAAUAAGGAGGUUACAAUAACGGAGUUAUGCUACUUUAACUCCACUAGGGCGUUUUCCUUCCAUGGCAUCCUUCUUAUUUCGGCAAUCAGCGCAGAAGAAAGGCCCUUGCCUGGGCUUUGAGCUAGUGGAGAAGAUGGAACCAGCAUGAACAGAGAUUCCCUCACUCGGAGCAAGGUCGAUUUGGCAUACAGCACAUGUAAAAAGACCAGAUGUUGACUGCAACACAGGUUCUUCAUUACCCAGUCUGCAAAAUGCAUUAAAAAUUAUGACAAAGUGAACAUUUAAGCGAUUGAGAACUAGAUUUAGAAAAUCAGAGCAAUACUUUUGAGCCUUUCCAAUGACAAAGUGAACAUUUACACAUGCAAAGGAGACAGCAUUAACCUUUCGGCAAGCAUUGCCGAGCCUUCUUCGAACAGUUCUUCAACUAUUCCUACAGCUGAAAGCUUCUUUGUUAGUUUAUUUGCUGAAUCAAGGGACUUCUUCCUAAAUAGCAGCGCUCUCAGCUUAUUCUGCUUUUUGGGAGGAGGCUGAGGCUGCAUCGUAUUGUCAGGAGGAAUUAUGUCAACAACUAUGCAAGUUGUAUCAUCCUUCAGUCCCCUUGUCCUUAAUGCUUCCUAAAUAGUGAUCCAUCAAAUACAGUGAGAAAACAUUCUAAGCAAUCAUCUGAAAAGCUAUGUUAGCACGUUCUUCUAAAAAGAACUGGCAACAAAUACGUAGUAAAACAACAAAUUAAAUUACCUUCACCACUUGUCUGGCAGCGAGUUCAGCCGGCAAUCCACGGCAACAUUGUGCAGCCAUUUCUGAGGAUAAGGCAUCCCAGAUUCCAUCAGAAGCAAUAAUAAGCCUUCCACCUGCAUUUGAUAGCUUUUAAAACAAUGAAGAAAGUAAGAGUUCAUGCUGAAGAUAGAACAAGCAAUUCCAUCUCAAAAUCACGGGUAACACAGUCGAAAGAUGGAAAAGAAUCACAAGUGAAAAACAUGAUGUAGAAACCCCCCCAAAAAAAGGGGGGAGGGCGGAUACCUUUACCUGUUUGACGUAUGGUAAUUCCCCAACAUCCAUGUCUCCAAUUGACCUAGAAAUGCAUAAACCACCAGGCCAGCAACGGAGGGGACCAAUCUGUCAAGGUUAUGCAAAUUUUGUUACAAACUGCAGGAUAGAUUUUUUCUAUUUUGUAGAAAUUCUGCCCUUUACUUUAAGACCAAUGAAUAACACUUGAGACCAAUAUGUUAAAACACCUUACCUCAGCACCUCCAACAAUGCUAAGCCUCCCAACUUCACCCCCACUUGCAGUAACGCGUUCCCUCCUGCAGUUGCAGCAUAACUAAUUAAAGAGUCUAUCCAGAAUAAGGGAAGAAAUAAAGCUUUGAUACAGAAACACACUCUUCCACAUUCUCUUCAAGCCUGUGAUCUACAGUCAAGGUGGAAACAGCCCCACCCUGAGCAUCCAAUAUACAACGAGAAUCUCCAACAGAUGCAACAGUCACAGUCCAUCUGUCAACUAUAACAAAUGUAGCUGUGGUCCCAGAUGUUUCUCCUGAAGAUGAUUGAACAAGUAUAGCAAAAUUACUUUUGCUUGAUUUACAACAUAAAGUCAAAGAUGGGAAAUAAAAAAGAAGUGCAAGAAUGAAAAUAAGAACAAGGGACAGUUCCAUGCCUCUACUCUGAAAUUCCUUGUCAGUCUUCACAAAUCCAGCAACUAAGGCUCGAGGUAGAGCCUGAAGCCAUUCCAAAGAUUAUUCAGAAUUACAAAGAUUAUUCUGAGUAGUUUAUGUUACGUAAAUAAGAGCACCAGCUCGGCCAUGCCAUCAUCCCCACCCCGGGGUGGAUCACCUCAGCCGAAUAGUACGAGCAGAACACUGAUAGUGAGCCUUCUAUAAACAUGGGCCGACCCGAGACGAGUACCAGCCAGAGGAAUAUACCGACCAGAGACAUAUACCGAGCCGAUACCUGUCCCCCAAAGAGCGGGAACACGAUCUCACAGAAUCACGAUAGUUGCGUUUUUCCCAGAACCGUUGAAGGAGAUGCGAUAUCCCACGUUUGCCCACAAUGUAGCAGUUAGAGUCCCAUGAGGGGUUGCCACUACCCGGAAAAGGGGGGAUGAAAGGUGAACGGAAACGUGGGACAGCGGCUAUAAAGAGGAAGAAAUCGAUAAAAAAAUGGAUGAAAAAACUGAGAGAGAAGGGAAAACUCUGCCAAAUUGAAACUAGACUGUUUUUCUGCCUAAAUUGAGAGUGAAUCAUAAGCCAUUCCGAAAUCUAAAUUGAACCGUUUUCCCGUAAACACCUUGUGCUAACUUAGGCAUCAGGGGGUUUACGCCGGUAAAACCACCGGCGUCUCUGAUCCAUUUCUUUGUGAACGCAGAAUUAGCAAGAUAAAAAGGGGUGAUUUCAAUCUAGUGACAUAAGCAAUCGUUAAGACGAGAAGGUAGCGAUAUCGUUCCAUCAAACAUAUAAACGUUGGUGAAAAAUCUGAUCGGAUAAAGGGCGAGCAAAUUUCAGCAUCAACAGUUUAUUAGUUGAUUAAGAAUAUUCUUAGUAGUUUAUUAGUUGAUUUCUCCAGCCAUAUUGGGAAUUCGGAAUAUUAAUGGCUUCUUACUCGUUUGUUGUGUUCUUUGUUAUUCUAAGAACAAAACACUAUCUGCUCCGAGUUAGUAAUUUUUUUUUUCUUUUUGUACAUUUACAUAAGCUAUGUCUAAUCUAAUAACAUGCAACAAAACGAGUUCCUAUUUUUCAGUCUCUUUUUAUUUAUUUGUUGGAUUUCGGCCGUCCCUUUACCUGUAUUUGGAGAAAGCAGCAGAUUUGUUGCAGCAAGUUCUGUAUCUGGUUGAGAUUGGCUAUUCUGUCAGUUGCCUGUCCAAUUUUGUCAAAAUUUGGAUGAUUUGAG